rnacentral:tRNA from 1 species
GGAGAGGUGGCAGAGCGGUCGAAUGCGGCGGUCUUGAAAACCGUUAUCCCGGGUGACCGGGAUCGGGGGUUCGAAUCCCUCCCUCUCCGCCA